ACGGCUCAGUAACACGUGGAUAACCUGCCCUGCGGUGGGAAAUAACCCCGGGAAACUGGGGAUAAUGUCCCAUAGGCUACGGAUACUGGAAUGUUCUGUAGUCAAAAGAUUUAUCGCCACAGGAUGGGUCUGCGGCCGAUUAGGUAGUUGUUGGGGUAAAGGCCCAACAAGCCUUUGAUCGGUACGGGUUGUGGGAGCAAGAGCCCGGAGAUGGAUUCUGAGACACGAAUCCAGGCCCUACGGGGCGCAGCAGGCGCGAAAACUUUACAAUGCGGGAAACCGUGAUAAGGGAACUCCGAGUGUCCGUAAAUUCGGACUGUCCGUAUGUUUAAAAAGCAUACGAAGAAAGGGCCGGGCAAGACCGGUGCCAGCCGCCGCGGUAAUACCGGCGGCUCGAGUGGUGGCCACUAUUACUGGGCUUAAAGCGUUCGUAGCUUGGUUGUUAAGUCUCUUGGGAAAUCUAUCGGCUUAACCGAUAGGCGUCCAGGGGAUACUGGCAAUCUAGGGACCGGGAGAGGUGAGGGGUACUUCAGGGGUAGGAGUGAAAUCCUGUAAUCCUUGGGGGACCACCUGUGGCGAAGGCGCCUCACCAGAACGGCUCCGACAGUGAGGGACGAAAGCUGGGGGAGCAAACCGGAUUAGAUACCCGGGUAGUCCCAGCCGUAAACGAUGCGCGUUAGGCGUAUCGAUGACCACGAGUCAUCGAGGUGCCGAAGGGAAACCGUGAAACGCGCCGCCUGGGAAGUACGGUCGCAAGGCUGAAACUUAAAGGAAUUGGCGGGGGAGCAC
rnacentral:rRNA from 1 species